rnacentral:lncRNA from 1 species
GUGUCUUAUUUCUAAUCAGACCAGUGCCUGGAAUAGCGCCUGGCACAGAGCAGGCACUUUAAAUGUUUCUUGACUGGCACGUUUGCUGUAAACACUUCAUUGAUUUCAAGUCAAUUUUUAUAUAUAAUUUAGGUGCUGGUUAAAAAACUUUUACUAUAAAAAAAAACUUUUAUUGCUACCGAUUGCAUUUCUUUUUUUUUUUUUUUUUGCAUUUCUAAAGACAAGAGGGAUAGGAUAUUUGAAAUACUGUGCACAGCGUAUGUGUAACUUUUUGCUUCUAUAGGCGAUAUAGUGGGUCUGUAUGAUGAAGGCAAUCAGCUGGCCACAGGGAUCCUGACACGGAUCACACAGAGAUCAGUCACAGUAGCCUUUGAUGCGUCUCAUGAUUUCCAGCUGAGCUUGGACCGGGACCGGGAGCGGGGCCUACAGACUGUUAAAACUUGCCAAUGACAUCACUUACAAGCGACUGAAAAAGUAAGAGUUUGUGUGACUGGGAAUCAAGUUUCUUUUCUUUUUUUUUUCUUUUCUUUUUUUUUUUUUUUUAAGAUUUUGCUUAUUCAUGAGAGACAGAGAGGCGGAGACAUAGGCAGAGGGAGAAGCAGGCUCCCUAUGGGAAGCCUGAUGCAGGACUCGAUCCCAGGACUCUGGGAUCACAUACUGAGCCACGCAGGCAUCCUAUUUUCUUCCAGUACUGCACACUUACCCUGACUGCUUGCCUCUGUGGGUAGAAGAGAGCAAUUGUGUUGAGUGUGGAGUCUGUGUGGGCCCCUCACGGGAUAUGGAGGCUGCAGGUGGCCUUUGCUGGGCAGAGGGUUGGGCACAGAUUCAAUAUUUGGUGUUCACCACACUCCUAAUUCUACUCUGUUGGCAGGGCUCUGAUAACACUAAAGAAGUACCAUUCUGGCCCCGCGUCCUCACUCAUAGAGGUCCUCUUUGGCGGAUCAGCCCCCAGUCCAGCCAGCAAUACAGACUUCAAGGCAGCAUAAAUUGAAAAAGAUCCAGAAAUUCACAGGUCAGAGAGAUCUUAUACUUUAUUCUUUAGCUCAAGGCUAAUGACAAAUCAACAGUGGGUCUGCUUUUAGACUGUAGACUUUAAUAACAGGGAGAGGGAGGUAGGUUGAAAAAGAUUGUAUAAGUGAAAGAAAUGUGCCUAUUCUUCCUAACAUCUGCAAAGAUGCUGAAUUCUUUCUGGUAACUUCCAAAGAGAUGUAAACUGAUUUAUAGUUCUUUCUAUGCUUCUGUUCCUCAUGCUUUCUUUCCUAAUUUCCUUUUAUGCAAAACUCAAAGUAUCAGGAAAGAAAUUUGAUGAGAUCUUUAGUGGGGGAAGUUUCGAUACAUUUUUCCCCUGCCAUAGACGCUGAAUAGACUCCUUUGAAGGAAAAAAUAUGUAUUACAGAUUUAUUUCCCUUACUCCAACUCCCUACUACCAUGAUUGUUCCAGCUGUUUCCAAUGACUUACAUCCACUACAUGGUAAAGGUGGCACAGUAUAUUUUAAAAUAUAAAAACUUAGACCUACAUUACGUCUGAGCUCUAUCACUACUUAACUUUAUGAUCCUGGACAUGAUUUCACCUUCGAUCUCUUCUUUGUAAAACAAGUGGCUUGAACUAGGUGGUAUCAAUAAUUAUGAUUCUAACAGAUUCUUUACCUCUGCUCCCAGCUUCCCAGUGGGAAGAAAAUCUCAGAAUGGGUUGCUCUGAAGCUAACCUGACAAAGUGAGUAAAAUUGAUCGUCACUAUUUAUUCUUUCUUUCUUCAGCCUACCCUACUGAUAAACCCUGUAAAAUUAGGAGAAAGAUACCUAGUACUGUUUUACUUUUCUGACUGAUAGUAGUUUCCUUUCUAACUUAAGCCACUCUUCUUAUUGGUUUCCUUAUUAGUACUUUUAAUAUCACUUCAAUUACACUGACACACUCUGUUGUAUCCAGCUUUUCAAGACUCCCUGUGGGAUGGGCCCAGGAAUAUAUACUCUGGUCAAUGAACAGAAGUCUUCAACAGAUCUUCAAACAUCUGGAAUGCACAAGGUCAGGGAAGGUAGUUUCUGGGUGGGGGUUGAAAGUGAUGGAAGUUUUUGGUAUUUUUUUUUUUUAGGUAAACUCUACCCCCAAUGUGGGGCGCAAACUCACAGUCCCGAGAUCAAAAAUUCCAUGCUAUACUGACUGAGGCAGCCAGGUACCCCCAAGCUGGUAGAACUUUUAAGAGAGAGGAAGGAAGGGACUGAAGGGAGGAAGGGUUAUAGAGAGGGAAGGAGGGGAGGGAAAGAGAGAGGGAAAAGAGAGAUUGUUAGUUGGUUGGUUGGUUAGUUUUGAUAGUGGGGAUAAAUUCUGAGUUCAAAGGUUUAAGAACAACUGGUUUAUGAAUCAUUUCUGAUUGCAGUGGAGACAAUGGCCUCCCUUUCCUCCUGGUAGAGGAAUUCUUUCUAUAAGUAAUUGAAGUUGGAGGGAUCCCUGGGUGGCGCAGCGGUUUGGCGCCUGCCUUUGGCCCGGGGCGCGAUCCUGGAGACCCAGGAUCGAAUCCCACGUCGGGCUCCCGGUGCAUGGAGCCUGCUUCUCCCUCUGCCUGUGUCUCUGCCUCUCUCCCUCUCUCUGUGUGACUAUCAUAAAUAAAUAAAAAUUAAAAAAAAAAAAAGUAAUUGAA